GUAGGUGAACCUGCGGAAGGAUCAUUAUUGAAUAUUCUUGAUGGGUUGUAGCUGGCUCUUCGGGGCAUGUGCACGCCUGUCUUGACUUUAUUCAUCCACCUGUGCACCUUUUGUAGUCUUGGGGGUUGAGAGCAGUCAAUUAUCGGAUGGCUACUGGCCUUUCCGGAUAUGAGGAAUGCCGAGUGCUUAAAGCAUACGGCUCUUCUCAAAGUGACUUGUAAACCUCUCCUUCAAGUACUAUGUAUUCAUAUACCACAUAGCAUGUUGCAGAAUGUUAUCAAUGGGCCUAUGUGCCUAUAACAAUCAUAAUACAACUUUCAGCAACGGAUCUCUUGGCUCUC
rnacentral:misc_RNA from 1 species